GGGGAAUAUUGGGCAAUGGGCGCAAGCCUGACCCAGCAACGCCGCGUGAGGGAAGAAGGUUUUCGGAUUGUAAACCUCUGUCGCAGGGGACGAAGGAAGUGACGGUACCCUGUAAGAAAGCCCUGGCUAACUACGUGCCAGCAGCCGCGGUAACACGUAGGGGGCGAGCGUUGUCCGGAAUUACUGGGCGUAAAGGGAGCGUAGGCGGUCGAUUAAGUUAGAUGUGAAACCCCCGGGCUUAACUUGGGGACUGCAUCUAAUACUGGUUGACUUAGAGUACAGGAGAGGGAAGCGGAAUUCCUAGUGUAGCGGUGAAAUGCGUAGAUAUUAGGAGGAACACCAGUGGCGAAGGCGGCUUUCUGGACUGACACUGACGCUGAGGCUCGAAAGCGUGGGGAGCAAAC
rnacentral:rRNA from 1 species